rnacentral:rRNA from 1 species
GACGAACCGUGCGAACGUUAUUCGGAAUCACUGGGCUUAAAGCGCGUGUAGGCGGAAGGGCACGUCCGUUGCUGAAAUCCCCCGGCUCAACCGGGGAUCGGGCGCGGAUACGACUCUUCUGGAGGGGCGUAGGGGGACCUGGAACUUCCGGUGGAGCGGUGAAAUGCGUUGAGAUCGGAAGGAACGCCCGUGGCGAAAGCGAGGUCCUGGACGCCUACUGACGCUGAGACGCGAAAGCCAGGGGAGCGAACGGG